GGAUGAUUUGAAGAUAGUGAGUUAUCUCGAUUGUUCACAGCCAGUUACAGGUAGAAUUCCUUGUUCUAUGUUUUCCUCCCUCUCACUAGUACGCUCGAGUAGUCUUUA
ensembl:misc_RNA Y_RNA Y RNA